GGUGCGAUUGACGCUGAGGCUCGAAAGUGCGGGAAUCAAACAGGAUUAGAUACCCUGGUAGUCCGCACCGUAAACGAUGAAUGCUCGUUCUGGGCGACACACUGUCCGGGACCUAGGGAAACCAUUAAGCAUUCCACCUGGGGAGUACGCCGGCAACGGUGAAACUCAAAGGAAUUGACGGGGGCCCGCACAAGCGGAGGAACAUGUGGUUUAAUUCGAUGAUACGCGAGGAACCUUACCCGGGCUUGAACUGCGCCAGACGUGAUUAGAGAUAGUCAUUCCCUUCGGGGCUGGUGUGGAGGUGCUGCAUGGUUGUCGUCAGCUCGUGCCGUGAGGUGUCGGCUUAAGUGCCAUAACGAGCGCAACCCUUGCUGUCGGUUGCCAUCACGUAAUGGUGGGCACUCCGAUGGGACUGCCAUCGCAAGAUGUGAGGAAGGUGGGGAUGACGUCAAAUCAGCACGGCCCUUACGUCCGGGGCUACACACGUGUUACAAUGGGGGGCACAGCGCGGAGCUACCUGGUGACAGGAUGCGAAUCGUGAAAUCCCCUCUCAGUUCGGACUGGAGUCUGCAACCCGACUCCACGAAGCUGGAUUCGCUA
rnacentral:rRNA from 1 species